rnacentral:lncRNA from 1 species
ACUCCUCCUGUACUCAGGCCCCAGCUCCUCUGUUCUGCCCAGUGGCCUGGCGCAGGAAAGGAAGUGCACACGCAGGCGGCCCCGGCUCGGGGGUGGCAGGGCCUCCCCUGAGAUGAGCUCCAGCAGCCGCAGGAGGUGGAUGCCGUCAGCCAGCUCUGUGUACAGGUUCCGGAUCUUGAUGCCCGCCUGGGGAGGGGACAGGGGUAAGUAUGGGGUCAGCCCAGCCUCACCUGUCCUCCCAUCCUGGGACCUGAGAGGUACGACCCAGAGCAGCUGCUUUGGAAGAAGGAGCUCUGGCCUCAGCUUGGCCUCAGGCAGAUGACCCCACAGCUCACCCCGGAGGCCCACUGGCCAGAGCUGGGGGCCUGGUAUGGGUGGGCUGUGGGUCACAGCUGGCUAUACUCACCUGGCCGCACUGGAAGACGUUAUUGAUCCACUUGGUGAAAGUCUUCUCCUGCAUCUGCAUGUGCCGGGCCUGUAGCUUGCGAAUGUGGCCCGUCUCGUACUGAGAGUCCAUGGUGAGACUUGGACUGGGCGGGACCCGGAGUUCUGUGCUGGGCCUCCUGCUGCGGUGCCCUGCAGCCCCGAGGAGCUCCCGGGGACUGUGGGGCUGACCAGCCAUCAGCCCUGCAGACUUUGGGGAUGAGGAGCUGCUGGAUGGCUCCCUAAACCUGGAGGGCAUGCAGAUUAGGGGAUGAUGUGAAUGGAGAUGGCCCCUCUACCAGGGGCCUGGGGUCCCGCCUUGCCAGACUGUCCUCACAUUUCAUGGGGGUUGCAGCUUGGAGCCCAGCCAGGUAAGGGCCAGUGCUUCUGGUCCCCUGUGCUUGAAUGGCCCAGGGCCCCCUUUGCCCCACCCCACCUUCCAGAUUCUUCUUCUCAGAGCCCCUGCUGCCAGGUCCCUCCACCACAGUGACUGGGACAGGUGGAAGGAAGACAGGAAACUGCUUACCUUGGUGAUGCCUGGGUCCCACAGAGACGGCUCUGCUGGACGGAUGGAGAUGGUAGAUAGCAGGGGCUGCUUACCUUGGUGAUGCCUGGGUUCCACAGAGGCGGCCCAGCUGGACGGAUGGAGAUGGCAGAUAGCAGGGGCUGUGGAGGGAGGGAGAGGGACAUCAGGAGAGGCCAAGGCUGGAGCAGGGCUGCACCACAGCCCUCCCCUUGAGCCAGCGUGCUGGGGUGACGGCACACAGGCGGCAUUGUCCUCCCACCUGCCACAGGGCGUGGCCCAGACAGGGAGGGGGUGGUUCAGGAAUGCUCCAGGGCCAUUGCCAGAUGAUGUCCUCCUUCAUCAUCCUCCCUUCCCCGCCAGCAACUUCUCCAACUCCAGGUGGGGGUCCUGGCUCCCAGGACGCAGAGGCCCAUGGAGCGGCCCUGCCACCGCAUGGGGUGCUGCAGUCUGCGUAGGAGGUACCAAAGGGCAGAGCCUCUGUGGGAAGCCUGUGGACGCACUUCCCAAUCUGAGACUGCCCUCUGUACCCUCUUGGGGCCUCUCUGUGAGCACCCAGGGCGAGGGGAUGAGGGAGCGUCCUGGGCCGUGGUCUUCUCAUUCACCCCCAGGGAACAGCCCAUAGACUGAGGGCCUCACAGACCCUGGGCUUGGCUUUCCAGGCCCUGCCAGAGUGCAGCCUGCCUAGCCCGGGGCUGAAGGGUAGGCUCCCUGGAGGAAGGGGUGACCUGGAACUGCGAGGGCUGUGGAGUCUCCUCCAAAAUUAGAGACACGGUGUUAACUCUGGGCUCCACAGAGCUGGCCGUGGCCCGGGGCUCGGAGGCAGGGGUGCAGAGGGAGCUGGUGGGCGCCCAUCCCUUCCUCCCCGAGCAGCCGUGGACUACAUGCCAGAGUGAAGGCGAGUUCUAAUUCUGGGGGUCUCACCCGCCUCUGGCUAAACUCAGGGUAGCAGUGUGGGCUGGGGUGUGUGUGUGUGGGUGUCUUCCAGCGGCCCUGGAGCCUCUGAAGCGACAGCCCGCUCCUCAGGGAGGCGCUCCUGGCAGCCACAGCCCACAGCAGGACAGCCGCUCAGCGCGCCCUUGAGAGCUGGGCUAGGGAUGAGUCACACUUGAACCGCCUGGGCCCACUGCAGGCAGUCAGGGGUGACGCUGAGAGGUGCCGUGGUCUCGGGUGGGGUGCGGCUUCCUGCGUCUGAGAGACGCUUCCUCUCCUGCUGUCCUCUCCCUGCCAGGCCCCUUCUGCAGCGGCUGGCUUCCAGACACCCUGCGUCCCUCCCUUGCUCGCAGCAGUUGCUGUGGCGGUCCUCCCGUGCACCCCCCCUUCUGCCCUCACUGCCCCUGGGGGUCCUCAUCACGGACCCCCUAACUCGGCAUCCUGGACACCACCACCCCGCACCUUUCCACAGUGCAGCUCUGCUCGUGCCUGUGAAGCCUCCCACAGCCUGGGAAGGAAAAUCCAGACUUGCCAGACCUUGCCUCAGCCAGGCCUUGGAAGCCUGCCAGCUUACCUAACCAGGCUAGUCUGCCCCCCUCACUCUGGGUGCUCUCCAUGGGCCACUCACCAUUUCCUGAGCAGGACCAGAGCUCUCCUGCCCCAAGGCUGGGCUUCAGCUGCUCUUUCAGCUUUGAACGUCCUUUCCCAUUCUCCAUCAUCCACAUUCACCUAUCCUGCCUGCCCCAGUUAAAAUCCUGUUUCUUCUAGGAAGUCCCUCAUCCCACCCGCUUACCCCAGGGAGACUGAGCUUGUUCCUUCUCCUAGUAAGACCCUCAGCCCAUGGAGUCCUGUGUGAUGUUGUGAGCGUGGGAGGACAGACUGAACUGCUCGGCCCGUGGAGUCCUGUGUGAUGUUGUGAGCGGGGAGGACAGACUGAACUGCGUGGUGCUUCGCACAUAGACCUCAACAGGGAUUGGCAUUUUGAAGCUGUUGGCGGGGGCUGUGGACUGCUUUUCUUCCUUUCUAGCUCAACGGCAGCUAAAGCCACUGCAUACAAUGCAAGGACUGGCUCCUGUUUGGCCACGACUGAUUGCAGCCCCUGGUGAAAUGAGAACCCUGUGGGUCGGAACAAAGUUUGGAUUAUUUAUGUUGCAAGUAACUAAAAUCUCAAGUGAAACUGGUUUAAACAUUAUAUUUUUAUUAUUUAUUUAUUUAUAUUUAAUUCUUUUUUAGAGACAGGGUCUUCUUAGGUUGCCCAGGCUGGUCUUGAACUCCUGGCCUCAACGAUCUUCCCACUUCAGCCUCCUGCAUUGCUGGGAUUAUAGGUGUGAGCCACCAUGCCUGGCUUACACAGUAUAAAGGGAAUGCAUUGGCCCACACAGUGGAAAAAAAUAUCUAGUAGGAAUAGGAAGGACUUCAGGAAGAGUUGGGGCUCACAGGCACACCCUCUCCCUAACUCUUCUCCCCCGGUUCAACCUGGAUCCAGGGAUCCACACUCUGCUCCGAGAGGCCAGCACGCAGCCACUGGAAAAUGAGCCAGUGGGAGAGGGCAGCUCCAUGUUUAUUGAUCAGCAGACUAUGUCUUUUUGUUUGAAACUUCUAAAUAAGAUUACAAAAAGAAAAAAAAUAGAAGCAUUGCGUAUUAACUGCAUUGGUUAACCAACAUUGGAACCCAAUACUCUUGUAUUAGGCCCGCAUUUACCUGAGUAAACUCAGUGGUUUUCUGUCCUAAGCAUGCUUGCCUGCUACAUCCCAUGGAGAAAAUAAACAGUGAAACACUUUCCUCAUCUUCAAGGCAAUUGUCUCAGGCAUCCUCCAGGCAUCAUGAAGGAGGGUGAGCGAGGGUGCGAGGUGGAAAGGUCCAGGCCGCGGCUGUGACUCCCGCGGGUGAACCACAGCUCCACAGCCCCAAAUCCAAAGAUGCUCUUGCUGCAGCACGACAAGUGUUCAAAAGAGAACCAGGCCCAGCCCGGAGAAAGGAAAGCCAAAAGCCAACUGAAUGAAUGACCCUCCCCCAGAAGAGCAACCCUGCCCCCAGGCCAUCCAAGUGCGAACAUUACCAGGUGCCAGCAGGGAAAGGACUCCGCUGCCUGACGCCUCUCCCACCUGAGAGCGCAGAGGUAGGGAGAUCACAGUGCCUGAGAGGUUUUCCUCCACGGAGAAAUCAGAGACCUCAACCUGCUGCCCUCUAAAGCAGCUUUCUGUAUCCAGACAAAACUUACAUAUGUACACGUUGUUUUAAAACGACAUACUCAUGUGACACACAUGUAUAUAAAUUCAUGUUUAUAUAUGACAAUUGAGGAGAGUUAAAGAACAAGAUAAUUCUGGAUGGAAAAAUCAGUUUGCCUGGGCAUCUGUAAACCUUUGGGCAAGUGAAUUCCCUCUUCUCUCUCAGUUCACCCUUUGGUGACCUCCACCGUGGCUGCAGACUUCAGGUGGUCCUCACGCAUUCACAGAACUGUCUGCUUAGGUUACAGCACUUUGGGAGGCCGAGGUGGGUAGAUCACGAGGUCAGGAGAUCGAGACCAUAUUGACCAACAUGGUAAAACCCCAUCUCUACUAAAAUACAAAAAUUAGCCGGGCGUGGUGGCGGGUGCCUGUAGUCCCAGCUACUUGGGAGGCUGAGGCAGGGGAAUCACUUGAACCUGGGAGGCGGAGGUUGCAGUGAACUGAGAUUGCGCCACUGCACUCCAGCCUGGGUGACAGAGAC